UGUGAACUUGGGCAAGUGACUUAAUCCUCUGCGUUUCGUCUCUAAAUUGGGGAGAAUAGAAGCAUCUACUUCAUGUAGUAGCCAGGAUUAGAAGAGAACUUAACACAUGGACAUCUGCAAGGCAGUCUGCAGACUAUAGUUUAGAUGUGUUCCCAGAAGGAAAGUGAAGUGGAUUUGAUGACUAGCUAGCCAGUCUCCUGCCCCAGGUUCUGGGACUAAGAGAUGCACCAGCCCAGAGAAGCAGCAGUCCAAAGAUGGGGCCACUUGAGGGAAAAGACCUACCCAAGGGCACAUAAUCUGUACAUGAGAGAGAGCCAGGUGUAACAGACUGAGUACUGGACUUGGGGUUAAACAGACUGUGAAUCCUUCCACCCCAUUGGCAAGGGAGGAAUAACUGGGCCCUGGAUAGAAUGUGAUGAAUGAAUAUUCUUAAUGAGAAGUGGAAAUAAUUUGUGGUUGAGAGCUGUGCCUCAGAUCAGAGUGACAGGAUACAUGGGUAGGCUAUAUUUUCCAGCAGAUUAAGAGCUGUAGCCCAAGACUCUGAAAUAUGAAGAAAAAAGGAGAAGAUGACAGCAUGUCUUUUUAAAGAAAUAUUUUCCAGCCAAAUGGUGCAGCAGAGGACUUCCAGGAAUUUGUUCUUGUUCUCUAUCAAAGGUGAAGAGUUCAUAGCCUUCAAGGAAACAAGAAACCAUGGGAUGGAGUGAAGGAA